rnacentral:rRNA from 1 species
UACGUAGGGUGCAAGCGUUUAAUCGGAAUACUGGGCGUAAAGCGUGCGCAGGCGGUUUUGUAAGACCGAUGUGAAAUCCCCGGGCUUAACCUGGGAACUGCAUUGGUGACUGCAAGGCUUGAGUGUGUCAGAGGGAGGUGGAAUUCCGCGUGUAGCAGUGAAAUGCGUAGAUAUGCGGAGGAACACCGAUGGCGAAGGCAGCCUCCUGGGAUAACACUGACGCUCAUGCACGAAAGCGUGGGGAGCAAACGAGG